GACGAACCGUGCGAACGUUAUUCGGAAUCACUGGGCUUAAAGCGCGUGUAGGCGGGACGGCACGUCCGGCGCUGAAAUCCCCCGGCUCAACCGGGGAACGGGCGCGGAUACGACCGGCCUGGAGGGACGUAGGGGGACCUGGAACUUCCGGUGGAGCGGUGAAAUGCGUUGAGAUCGGAAGGAACGCCCGUGGCGAAAGCGAGGUCCUGGACGUCUGCUGACGCUGAGACGCGAAAAGCCAGGGGAGCGGAACGGG
rnacentral:rRNA from 1 species